UAGGGAAUCUUCCGCAAUGGGCGAAAGCUUGACGGAGCAACGCCGCGUGAGUGAUGAAGGUCUUCGGAUCGUAAAACUCUGUUAUUAGGGAAAAACAAAUGUGUAAGUAACUAUGCACGUCUUGACGGUACCUAAUCAGAAAGCCACGGCUAACUACGUGCCAGCAGCCGCGGUAAUACGUAGGUGGCAAGCGUUAUCCGGAAUUAUUAGGCGUAAAGCGCGCGUAGGCGGUGUUUUAAGUCUGAUGUGAAAGCCCACGGCUCAACCGUGGAGGGUCAUUGUAAACUGGAAAACUUGAGUGCAGAAGAGGAAAGUGGAAUUCCAUGUGUAGCGGUGAAAUGCGCAGAGAUAUGGAGGAACACCAGUGGCGAAGGCGACUUUCUAGUCUGUAACUGACGCUGAUGUGCGAAAGCAUGGGGAUCAAACAGG
rnacentral:rRNA from 1 species